CGCGGUGGCUCACGCCUAUAAUCCCAGCACCUUGGGAGGCUGAGGCAGGUGGAUCACCUGAGGUCAGGAGUUCAAGACCAACCUGGCCAACAUGGCGAAACCCGGUCUCUACUAAAAAUACAAAAUCAGCCGGGCGUGGUAGCACAUGCCUGUAAUCCCAGCUACUCAGGACGCUGAGGCAGGAGAAUCAAUUGAACCCGGGAGGCGGAGGUUGCGGAGUUAAACAUCCUUCUACAGGAUAACUGCAUCUAGAGGCAGGACUAUAUAUAAGCAAAGGAAAAGUUCUUCGAAGAGGAAACACGAAUCGCUCGUUUUAGGAAUAAAGAUGACGGCGCCUUGAGGUAAGCUACAGGCAACACCACUUCCGCGUUUCUCUUGCGCCCUGGUCCAAGAUGGCGGAUGAGGCCACGCGACGUGUUGUGUCUGAGAUCCCGGUGCUGAAGACUAACGCCGGACCCCGAGAUCGUGAGUUGUGGGUGCAGCGACUGAAGGAGGAAUAUCAGUCCCUUAUCCGGUAUGUGGAGAACAACAAGAAUGCUGACAACGAUUGGUUCCGACUGGAGUCCAACAAGGAAGGGACUCGGUGGUUUGGAAAAUGCUGGUAUAUCCAUGACCUCCUGAAAUAUGAGUUUGACAUCGAGUUUGACAUUCCUAUCACAUAUCCUACUACUGCCCCAGAAAUUGCAGUUCCUGAGCUGGAUGGAAAGACAGCAAAGAUGUACAGGGGUGGCAAAAUAUGCCUGACGGAUCAUUUCAAACCUUUGUGGGCCAGGAAUGUGCCCAAGUUUGGACUAGCUCAUCUC
rnacentral:sRNA from 1 species